UUGAAUAGACUGCAGAGGAAUAUUUUAUUCAACAAAAACAUUGAAAAGCAUGUGAGUAAAGGAUAAAGAAACAUUGUCCCAGAAGAUGUGUAGUAGCCUAUACAUUUAAAUUGUUUCUUUCAGUUGGAUUCAUCCAGUUCCUCGCUAUCUCCUCUUUACCAACAGUAUAAAUUUAAAGUGCACAUAACUCUGUUUAUUUGAUGAAUUACAUUUAUUGAUUUAUGUGUGUUGAACCAACCUUGCAUCCCAGGAGCAAAGCCUAUUCGGUCAUGGUGAGCUAACUUUCCAAUGAGCUCCUGGAUUUGAGUUGCUAGUAUUUUGUUGAGGAUGUUUGCACUACACAUCAGGGAUAUCAGCCUGUAGUUUUCAUUUUGCGUGAUGUCAUUAGCAGAUUUUGGUAUCAGGAUAAGGCUCGCUUCAUAAAAUGAGUUAGACAGGAGUCCCUCCUCCUCAAUUUUUUAGAAUAGUUUCAAUAGGAUUGGUACCAGCUCAGAUGCAGAAAAAGCUUUCAAUAAAAUCCAACAUUUCUUCAUGAUAAAAACUCUCAAUGACUCUUAAUGUCAAAUACAUUCAUGUACCACCUAAUGAUGUUUCAGUCAACAUAUACCACAAUGGAUCUCAUAUACUACAGUCGUUUCCUAAAAUUAAAAGGGAACUAAAAAAUUUCUAUUGCCUAGUGACAUUAUGACAUCACAGCUGUCAUAAUGUGUCUGGAAUUGGUGGGUUCUUGGUCUCACUGACUUCGAGAAUGAAGCCACAGACCCUCGCGGUGAGUGUUAAAGCUCUUAAGGUGGCACGUCUGGAGUCUGUCCCUUCUGAUAUUCAGAUGUGUUCGGAGUUUCUUCCUUCUGGUGGGUUUGUGGUCUGGCUGGCUCAGGAGUGAAGCUGCAGGCCUUCACAGUGAGUGUUACAGCUCAUAAAAGCAGCGUGGACCCUAAGAGUGAGCAGUAGCAAGAUUUAUUGCAGACCGAAAGAACAAAGCUUCCACAGUCUGGAAGGGGACCCGAGCGGUUUGCCAA
rnacentral:lncRNA from 10 species